rnacentral:misc_RNA from 1 species
GAUGAAGAACGUAGCGAAAUGCGAUAAGUAAUGUGAAUUGCAGAAUUCAGUGAAUCAUCGAGUCUCUGAACGCACAUUGCGCCCCCUGGUAUUCCGGGGGGCAUGCCUGUCCGAGCGUCAUUGCCGCCCUCAAGCACGGCUUGUGUGUUGGGCCCCCGCCCCCCGGCUUCGGGGGGCGGGCCCGAAAGGCAGCGGCGGCACCGCGUCCGGUCCUCGAGCGUAUGGGGCUUCGUCACCCGCUCUGUAGGCCCGGCCGGCGCCCGCCGGCGACCCCAAUCAAUCUUUCCAGGUUGACCUCGGAUCAGGUAGGGAUACCCGCUGAACUUAAGCAUAUCAAUAAGCGGAGGA